GGCGAACAAGCUUAGAGGAUUAUAGCACGUGGCUACAAACCAUGGUGUCAGGGGUUCGAAUCCCUCCUCGCCC
rnacentral:tRNA from 1 species